rnacentral:rRNA from 1 species
AAUCAACGCUGGCGGCGUGCCUAACACAUGCAAGUCGAACGCGAAGACCCCGCAAGGGGUUGGUAGCGUGGCAAACGGGUGAGUAACGCGUGGGCGACCUACCUCAGAGUGGGGGAUAACCUUCCGAAAGGGAGGCUAAUACCGCAUGACAUCCCGUGUUUAGAUACACGGACAUCAAAGCCGGGGAUCGCAAGACCUGGCGCUUGGAGAGGGGCCCGCGUCCGAUUAGCUAGUUGGUGAGGUAACGGCUCACCAAGGCUCCGAUCGGUAUCCGGCCUGAGAGGGCGGACGGACACACUGGGACUGAGACACGGCCCAGACUCCUACGGGAGGCAGCAGUGGGGAAUUGUUCGCAAUGGGCGCAAGCCUGACGACGCAACGCCGCGUGGAGGAUGAAGACCUUCGGGUCGUAAACUCCUUUCGACCGAGAUGAAUUCCCGCCGACCUAACACGUCGGCGGGGUGACAGUAUCGAGGGAAGCAGCCCCGGCUAACUCCGUGC